rnacentral:rRNA from 1 species
AUACGUAGGGGGCGAGCGUUGUCCGGAAUGAUUGGGCGUAAAGGGCGCGUAGGCGGCGCGGUAAGUCUGGAGUGAAAGUCCUGCUCUCAAGGUGGGAAUUGCUUUGGAUACUGCCGCGCUUGAGUGCAGGAGAGGUUAUCGGAAUUCCAGGUGUAGCGGUGAAAUGCGUAGAGAUCGGGAGGAACACCAGUGGCGAAGGCGGGUAACUGGACUGCAACUGACGCUGAGGCGCGAAAGUGUGGGGAGCAAACAGGAUUAGAUACCCUGGUAGUCCACACUGUAAACGAUGAAUGCUAGGUGUAAGAGGUAUCGACCCCUUUUGUGCCGGAGUCAACACAAUAAGCAUUCCGCCUGGGGAGUACGGCCGCAAGGUUGAAACUCAAAUGAAUUGACGGGG